CUGAGUACGGCGGAACACGUGAAAUUCCGUCGGAAUCCGGGAGGACCAUCUCCCAAGGCUAAAUACUCCCUAGUGACCGAUAGUGAACCAGUACCGUGAGGGAAAGGUGAAAAGCACCCCGGAAGGGGAGUGAAACAGUUCCUGAAACCGUGUGCCUACAAGUAGUUAGAGCCCGUUAAUGGGUGAUAGCGUGCCUUUUGUAGAAUGAACCGGCGAGUUACGAUUUGUUGCAAGGUUAAGCGGAAAAAGCGGAGCCGUAGCGAAAGCGAGUCUGAAUAGGGCGCAUAAGUAACAGGUCGUAGACCCGAAACCAGGUGAUCUACCCAUGUCCAGGAUGAAGGUAAGGUAAUACUUACUGGAGGUCCGAACCCACGCACGUUGAAAAGUGCGGGGAUGAGGUGUGGGUAGCGGAGAAAUUCCAAUCGAACUUGGAGAUAGCUGGUUCUCUCCGAAAUAGCUUUAGGGCUAGCCUCGAGGUAAAGAGUCAUGGAGGUAGAGCACUGUUUGGACUAGGGGCCCUUCUCGGGUUACCGAAUUCAGAUAAACUCCGAAUGCCAUGUACUUAUACUCGGGAGUCAGACUGCGAGUGAUAAGAUCCGUAGUCGAAAGGGAAACAGCCCAGACCACCAGUUAAGGUCCCCAAAUAUAUGUUAAGUGGAAAAGGAUGUGGGGUUGCUUAGACAACCAGGAUGUUGGCUUAGAAGCAGCCACCAUUGAAAGAGUGCGUAAUAGCUCACUGGUCGAGUGACCCCGCGCCGAAAAUGUACCGGGGCUAAACAUAUUACCGAAACUGUGGAUGAACCUCUUUAGAGGUUCGUGGUAGGAGAGCGUUCUAAGGGCGGUGAAGUCAGACCGGAAGGACUGGUGGAGCGCUUAGAAGUGAGAAUGCCGGUAUGAGUAGCGAAAGAAGGGUGAGAAUCCCUUCCACCGAAUAUCUAAGGUUUCCUGAGGAAGGCUCGUCCGCUCAGGGUUAGUCGGGACCUAAGCCGAGGCCGAUAGGCGUAGGCGAUGGACAACAGGUAGAGAUUCCUGUACCAGUGCUAAUUGUUUAACCGAUGGGGUGACACAGAAGGAUAGGGAAUCGCACGAAUGGAAAUGUGCGUCCAAGCAGUGAGUGUGAGAAGUAGGCAAAUCCGCUUCUCGCGAAGCAUGAGCUGUGAUGGGGAAGGAAAUUAAGUACGGAAGUUCCUGAUUUCACGCUGUCAAGAAAAGCCUCUAGGAAGAGUAGUACUGCCCGUACCGCAAACCGACACAGGUAGAUGAGGAGAGAAUCCUAAGGUGAGCGAGAGAACUCUCGUUAAGGAACUCGGCAAAAUGACCCCGUAACUUCGGGAGAAGGGGUGCUCUAUUAGGGUGCAAGCCCGAGAGAGCCGCAGUGAAUAGGCCCAGGCGACUGUUUAGCAAAAACACAGGUCUCUGCAAAACCGUAAGGUGACGUAUAGGGGCUGACGCCUGCCCGGUGCUGGAAGGUUAAGAGGAGUGCUUAGCUUCGGCGAAGGUACGAAUUGAAGCCCCAGUAAACGGCGGCCGUAACUAUAACGGUCCUAAGGUAGCGAAAUUCCUUGUCGGGUAAGUUCCGACCCGCACGAAAGGCGCAACGAUCUGGGCACUGUCUCAACGAGAGACUCGGUGAAAUUAUAGUACCUGUGAAGAUGCAGGUUACCCGCGACAGGACGGAAAGACCCCGUGGAGCUUUACUGCAACCUGAUAUGGAAUGUUUGUACCGCUUGUACAGGAUAGGUAGGAGCCGAAGAGACGUGUGCGCUAGCAUACGAGGAGGCAAUGGUGGGAUACUACCCUGGCUGUAUGACCAUUCUAACCCGCCACGCUUAGCGCGUGGGGAGACAGUGUCAGGUGGGCAGUUUGACUGGGGCGGUCGCCUCCUAAAGAGUAACGGAGGCGCCCAAAGGUUCCCUCAGAAUGGAUGGAAAUCAUUCGCAGAGUGUAAAGGCACAAGGGAGCUUGACUGCGAGACUGACAAGUCGAGCAGGGACGAAAGUCGGGCUUAGUGAUCCGGUGGUUCCGCAUGGAAGGGCCAUCGCUCAACGGAUAAAAGCUACCCCGGGGAUAACAGGCUUAUCUCCCCCAAGAGUCCACAUCGACGGGGAGGUUUGGCACCUCGAUGUCGGCUCGUCGCAUCCUGGGGCUGUAGUCGGUCCCAAGGGUUGGGCUGUUCGCCCAUUAAAGCGGCACGCGAGCUGGGUUCAGAACGUCGUGAGACAGUUCGGUCCCUAUCCGUCGCGGGCGCAGGAAAUUUGAGAGGAGCUGUCCUUAGUACGAGAGGACCGGGAUGGACACACCGCUGGUGUACCAGUUGUUCCGCCAGGAGCAUCGCUGGGUAGCUAUGUGUGGCAGGGAUAAACGCUGAAAGCAUCUAAGCGUGAAGCCCCCCUCAAGAUGAGAUUUCCCAUUUCUUCGGAAAGUAAGAUCCCUGAAAGAUGAUCAGGUAGAUAGGUUUGGAGUGGAAGUGUAGCGAUACA
rnacentral:rRNA from 1 species